GCUGAAGCUCGGCUGGGAUGCCUGAUGGAGCAGAAUGGCUCUUUACAUCGUCGUUCUAGGAGAGGCUCGGAUGUUCCGAGGUCACUGACGAAUCUAUUGUUGUCGGACGCUUCGGGUGUUGACGUUUCAGACGGGAGUCACCUGCUGUAGGAGCUCGGACAGAGAUUUUUGUUGACGAAGUCCGGAGAAGUCUGUCUGGAAUUUAUCUGAUGUGGAAGCUCAUCUGAAGAUCGUCCGUCGGGGAAGUCCGGUUUUAUGGGGAGCCUGGUAGGAGGUCGGUUGGCGAUGGACUUCGGAUAGCGCUGGGGAGGCUCGGCAGACAUCGGAGGCGAUCGGCUAUCGCAGGGACCCAGUUGCUGGAGCUCGUCCGGAAUCCAUCCGCUGGAGAAGUUCGGACAGACUUCGGUUCUCGCGAGAGGUCGAAAAGGGGCCGCUUAUUGUAGGAGCUCGGGCGAGGACCAGUUGUCGUGGAAGCUCGGAGUAGUGUCCCGCUGUAGAAGCUCGUCCAGGGCCCACUCGCUACGGGGUAGCUCGAUUGAAGUCUACCUGUAGUAGAAAUUCGGAAGAAAUUUGUUUAUAGUAGAGGCUUGAGUCGGAAUUUGCUUACAGUCGACGUCUGGGAUAGACAGUCCGCUGUAGGAGUUUGGAGUAGACCGUUCGUAGUAGAAGUUCGGCUCUCGCAGGAGCUCGAUCGGGAUUCGGAAGGCGGUCGACCGUCGUAGAAACUUGGAAGGAGUCUGGUUACUGUAGAAAUCUCGUUGUCGGGGAAGCUCGGAUGCUGACGAAGCCCGAAAGAAGUUCGGAGUAGGGUCGUCUGUGGCCGAAAGAAGUCCAGGAGAGACUCGGGGAAUGGUUGGCUGCUGUAGGAGGUCGACUGUCAGUGAGGCCCAGAGGGCUUUUGGGGCGGCCCGAUGGGUGAACGCAGAAGUCCAGACGGUCGAGGG
rnacentral:lncRNA from 1 species